rnacentral:miRNA from 1 species
AAUAACGUGAGGACAUCUGGAUGA